GGAGAAAAAUCCGUUUCUCUGAGUCUAGAACUUGUUACAAAAUGUUACAAUUUACAACAGUAAGAAGAAUGGGUUAUGCCAACUUCCAGGUAAUAUACAACAGUUACUAUGCUUCUGUUCAACCAUCUGUGCCAAAACAAGAACAAGUCUCUCUAACCAGAUGCAAUUUGAAAAAAAAAAUGAUAAAGAGUACAAAUGAAUUUGAUUGAAAUCGCUAAAGCAUCAUUUGACAGGAUGCUAAGCCAUUAAGGAUCCUCUCAUCCUUCCACUUCAUUUGUAGAUUGCACUGGUUCCACGACUGGAGGUAUACAGUCCACCUUGUAGCGGAUGACCUUUUUGAAAAAAGCUGAAUAUGAAUUAUCCCAGAUCAGUUUGUAGUUUCCAGCGAUGCAAGUGCAAAAGUUACCUUGGUCAGAUUCAUAUCGGCGGUAAGGUAAUAUCAGAGUCUUUUGCCCACGAGGAUCCACAUGUUCCACACUAAAUCCAAUAUCCACGUUCAUCUUGCCUUGCAUCAAAGAGAAAUCCCAAGCAAUAUAUGAGUUUAUUGAGUCCACUAACAAUGAAACCUCAUGGGUUUUCCCAGCUGGAACAAUUAUCUCUUUGAAUUCAUCAUUCGUCCUUGCAUCUAGUGUACCAGCAACUUCUGCUGAAAUAAAGAAAGGAGAAUUUGCAAAUACCUCACUGAUGAAGUUUAUAAAUCUUUCAAACUCAUGGGUGUAGACAUCAACAGCUUGUUUCAAGAUAGCAACUUGAUGCCCGUUUAAUUUACUGGCCUCAAACCUCCCCCAUGAUAGUGUAACGAACAGUCGAAUAGAAAGAACCAGUGAUGUAAGGCUGUAUAAAGAUGGUCCAUAACGCUGUCUUUGCUCUUCCAUAGGCCCAUCAUCAUCAUUUAUUGUCCGAAUAAAAUCUAGUAAAACCUGCACCAGAGGAAGUGAUGAACAAAGAAAUUAGUUACCUGCAACUUUGAUGCUUAAAUGCCUAAAUUUUCCCAAGGCCAAAUACUUUAAAUGCAUCUCAAAUUUUUAAAUUUAUGCAGCCUAGAUUACCGUCAAUCUUCAGCUUAAAAAAUGAAAAACUAUAAUAAUAAUAAUUUCAUCACCAAUAAAUGCACAAAUGCAUACAAAUAAUAUUUAUGUAUAAAAAAAUAAAGAGUGAGAAAAUAAGUACACAUCAAUUCUGCAAGCAAGACAGGAGCCACAUAACUUGAGAACAUUAAUCUUUGUGGAACAAGUCAUAUAACGGAAAUUCAAGAAUGAUAAACAGAACAAUACAUAGAAAUUGUGAAGAACUGAACUGAAAUGGUUGAUGAAUAAAUCCAGGUUAGAUGAUGAAGGCUGAAAGGCAAUCAACUUAUCCAGGUUUAGAAGCAUAGGUGAAGAAACAUGUGAACAUGUUGGUCCAUUCCACCCAAAGAAAACUUUGGGAAGGGGUACAAGAAGAAGACCAUACCUGUGGAACUCCUACUAAGUACUUCACAAGAGUUUUGUAUACACCUGUUGCAGAACCAAGUUGUGCUAGCUGUCUCCUCCUAGCCAUUUGUUGUUUCCACAACAAAGCAUAGCGAUCACGUAUGCUUCCUCCAGAAUUAACCAAAGCAUCAACCUCUGCUUGCUUAUUCCUCUCUGACCGCUCCCUUUGCUGUCUGAUAAGUGUUCCCCGAAAAUCUUGAGGCAUGUAGGUCAUAACUGUAUUAAAUACACGUUCAGAAUUUUUAACUUGGAAAGACUCCAAUGUCUUCAAAGUCUUGUGAAACUUGUCUUUGAUGUUGCUAAAAACUGUAGCAAGUUCAUUGUCUUCAGGUGUGGAAGGCUGUCGAAGUGCCGAGGGCCAACGGGAAUAAUCAAGUAAAAACAGAAUUUCUUCCAUAUGCUCUCGAUUCUUCCACAUAUUCUCGUCAAUUUUGUGAACAGGCAGACGGUCCGCUUCGUCCACCAAUAACCUUUCGCCUUGUGGGAUAGGUAAGUCCUUGAGCAAAUCAGAGGCGAAGGAGCGAAUCUCAGAGGUGAGACGAGAAACGUCGUCGGAGAGAGGCACAAAAGGGUAUUUGUCGUAGUAAGAAGCGAGGAAUUGCUUGGUUAUGGGAACCAGACCCGCAGUCGAUGCCAUUUUCCAGUGUUGAUUCGGCGAUUCCUCCUCGGAUCAAAGACUAAAUUAGCAAACACCAGAGACGUAGUUGAAAUCCUAUGGAAUUGGAGUCCACGCAACGCAAUUUAUCGAGCAUUAUACGCAUCGUACACACAGCAGCAUAUUCCUUUGGCUUCUCUUUCUUUCUUUUUCUUCUGCUCUUUCCCCCCUCGUUUUAUUUUCUAAUAAUUAAUUAUCUAAUCACCUAACGGGCUGUUGGCUGUUGCUUGCAUUAGCAUUAUUGGGAUUUAUGAGUGUAUUAUCA
rnacentral:misc_RNA from 1 species